rnacentral:lncRNA from 1 species
UACAGCUUUCCUUCAGAAAGAAAUGCAUUCAAAGAACCUACAUUCACAACAUAAAGAAAUAAAGCCUGCACCUACAGAUCUACACACAUGCCCAUGCACAUGCAGGAAGUGUUCAUCUAAGACUGGACCUUUUAGAAGAAAGCUGGCAUACAUUCGUGAAGGCAUGGGCUUCCAGGCAUGUCAUCUUCACUCACGAAGCACACACAAGACCGCCAAGCAUUAAGAUUCUCCUGUGGAGCCAGGCUACAAUCCUUUAAAUGAAGACAGACAGCUAGGUGGCUGCAGCCCAGCGCUACACCUCACCCCUCCCUCAGUGUCAUGCAGAAAAAAUGUAUUCAGAACUCAGAAGUGAAGUUGUGCAAAUCCAUCAUUGACACUAGCUUCAAGGUUACCUCGGGGGAGCAGAAUGUACCCCUGCCAGAGAGCUGGAUAGAUGAUGAUGGGGACAGAAAUUCUGGGGGAGUUGUAAAUGGCAGCCACUGCCUCUAUAGGAAACCCAAAGGGAACACAGCAGAAGAGGAGGUGGUGGAGGAGCCACUGCCCUCUCGAAGGGUUCAAUGUCAUUCUGCAGACACAACCAAAUAACUUUUUCUUCCCUGCUGCUCCUCCAUUUGAAAUGACAGCCCCGAGCUCGCUUUUUCCUUGAUUGUGUAACUCUGAUUACAGACAAGGCCAAGGCAAUCCCAG